rnacentral:lncRNA from 1 species
GGGAGGGGCGCCAGGGCAGAUACUGUCCAAGGCUGACCUGGAGUGCCCUGCCUCCUCCGGCCCCAUCUGCCCACUGCUACCAGAAAUGUAUCCAUUGGCAUUUCUGACCCUUCAGUGGACUAACCACUGAUGCAGUUCCAGCUGUCAUCAUCUGCUGUUUCACCCCUGAUCAUUCCUGAUUGACACACCCAAACCCCAGUGCACUCUCUCCAGGGAGCGGCUAGUUUAGGCUUAACACAGCGGGGUUCUCCUGCACAGGAGCCAGGCAGCCAGCUUGGCUGGGCAGACUCUCCCAACACUAGGGGAAUAGGGGCCACCACCGGCUUCCUCCCAGACAGUGAUGGUGAGCUCUCCAGCUGCUGGGCUAAGGUACACACCAUUAUGGGACAAAGUCAUUUGUGUCUAGCUGUUGCUUCCCAAAGGGUCACAUGAAAUUCAGAUGCGUCACCUGGUGCACAGUGCAGUCAAUUCAGACUCACGCCUCCUUGGUUUACCAACUGAUCCUGAGGAAUGGUGUGCAGGUUGGAGAUGCUUUGACCUCAGUGGGAAGGUGUGUGGUGACGGAGGGGAGUCCCGAAGUCCAGGGAGCUCUAGCCUUGAUGGAGGACAGAGGCUGAACGAACUGCCUGUGGGCAGGAACUCACACCUGUGCACACACACGCCUCUCUGAGCUCGGGUCAUGGACACCAGCAUCAGAAGGCUGUCACACUCACUGCAGGAGAGGGAAGCAGGAGGCUCAGUGGUCCUGUUGAGUCUGUGGCUCAGGGACACACAGUCACCGUGUCCAGAAGGUGACACUCUCUGUGGCAUGCAGGAGAGCCUGGUCUGGCAGCCCACCCAGUACAGCGGUUGGCGUUCCUGGCCAUGGGUGUGGGUGAGGAAGGCUCUGAGGAGGGGACUGGUGAGCACAUCCUGCCUGGCUCCUGGCCCAGGUAAGGCAAGGACCGGAAGGCGUCGCCUGAGUCGGGCAGGAUAAUCACUGGAGUCUUCACACCUGCCCGGGAGCAGAAGCCAGCUUCACUGGGCUUCAGGCUGAGUGACAAGGGACAUCUGGUUGAACUGUCAUACACCGUGAGCAGGAUUUGGGGACAGCAGAAUCAUAAUUUAAAAUUAAAACGUAGAGCCUCCCGAGAAUAUGGGCACCCUGCACCGCGCUCGGGUCGGGGGCGCGGCCGGAGCUCCAGCGUAGGGGUCCCCUCAGGGGAUCUCCCCAGUGCCUGAAGCCCCUGAGGACGCCCCUUGCCCCUGGGAGGCCGCAGCUCAGGCAGCCCCAGAGGACAGAACGUGGCUGGAGAGGCAGAGGCCGGAGCAGCCUUCAGGGAGCUGAGCCUCCGUCGCCAGGUCUCACCCAAGGGAAUGGGUGACUCCAGUCCCUAGACUGCAGCCCGGCUUCACCUGCGCGGAGCUCUGUGACCUUCAGCAGCGCAGGGGACGAGUUGUCAUCGGUUCAAGAUAUGGUCAGGACGGAAAGAGACCCAGCUCUCAGCUGUGCCUGGCCACCCGCGUGGUAAAUGAGAUGUGGCUGGCUUUUCUCGGCUUGUCGCAGGGCUUCGUUCACAGCGAAACGCUGCUGGCCAGGGAAAGCGGUUCUGGGGCACAAGGCGCGCCGGGGAGAUCACUGCGCGCCUGGGUUUGGGGAGGCCCGGUCGGUCCCAUCUUCCUGCCCGGCUCCUGCCGGCCCUGACUCUCCACGGUGUGCAUGGAGGUCACAUCCACGACUUCCAGCGUGGCCCAGGCCGGAGGCUGAUGGGUAUUGUCAUCGUCAGUGAGUUUGUUGUAAAAGCCGCUUUGUCCCCAUCUCUCGCCCCCCUUUCUCUGGUGCUGUCUUGCCUUUCCACCUUCUGCAGGGGCAGGGUGCACGCAGAAGCCCUCACAGAUGCACCCACCUUGGCACCAUGCAUCAUGGCAGGGGCACGUGCAGAGCUGGCUGCCCGCCUCUUGGCCAACAGGAAGCCAGGGGGAGUCCCCAGACCCCCUGCAGGGCACACCCCAGUGACCUCACCUCCUCCAGCAGCCCCGCCUCCUGCACUGGGGAGUCCCACCGGCUGGCAGCCCAGCCUGGGACACACAGACUCCGGGAGAUGUGGGGAUGCGACAUGGGGCCUCACCAGCCCGUCCCUCAGGAAUGGCCCUGUAGACACUGUCCGGUGAGGCCACAGGGUGCUGCCCAGGUCUCCCAUCUGUUGUCAUUUUUUGCUUUAAAAGAAAGCUUUGGUACAAAAUUUUGUUUACAAAGCAACAUUGAUGCUCAUGUUAAGAAUCCCCUGUAGCACGCAGGCUCUCGAGGACAGGGUGGCUUGGCUCUGUCCCCGUUGCAGGGUUGGGGGCACACUGCUCUGUACUCACAUCUGCUGGGUCAGAACAGGUGUCCGAGAGCUUCCAAGGGGAAGGCUAUCAAGGCUGAUGCCCGUGAUUGUUGGGGAGUCAGAAAUAUCGAGGUGAAAAAGCAGGUAACUGGGGAAGGGUGUGAAGGGCCACCCACUUCCAUCUCUCAGUGUCCCCAGGAGCUCUGAGCAAAAUUGCCACCAAAUGCCUGUUGUUAAUAUGAUUUCCUAAUUUUGCAUGAGUACCACAUAAAAUAUUAAUGUCUCUAAGUAUCUAAGGAAGACUAAGUAUGGAAGUUUUAAAUUCAUGCUUGUAGGAAUUCUAUUUAAAUCCUCUAAGUGAAUCUUUAGGUGACAGGUAAUUGGCAGUUUGCCUAAGUUUGUAUCCAUUUAACUCGAUGCCAAUGGACACAGGUGUGCUGCUGUCUCUUCUCAACUUCCAAGCACCAGCGUUUGGCAAGGACGAGAAAUUGUUGCAUAAUAAGAUCCCCCAGGCCCCCUUCCCAGGUUUCGCCUAAAGUCUUUUUAGUGUUUGCGUUUGAAACCUUUGUAGGAGACCGAAUGCUUUUCGGAGAUACAUUUCAAUCAGACUGUGCUUACGGAAACACGGGCCAGUUGGGAAGUUGUGUAUGUGCACACACACGUCUACACACGCACACACACAUGUCCACACACAUGCACACACGUGUCCACACAAACGCACACAUACACGCACACACAUGUACACACAUGUACACAUACAUGCGCACAUGCGUCCACACAUAUGCCCCCCCACACACAUACAUGCACACACAUGUCUACACACAUGCACACACAUACACACUUACAUGUACACACAUGCAGACACACGUGUCCACACACAUGCAGAAUACAGGCGCACACGUGUCCACACAAUGCACACACGUGUCCACAUAUAUGUCCACACACAUACACGCACACACAUGUUCACACACACAUACAUAUACACAUGUACAUACACAUACACAUGCAUGCAUUUAAGGAGCUUUAAAAAACGAACAAACCCAGCAUUUUCCCGUGAAUGGGGUGUCUCUCAAUAGUUUCUUCUGCCCGUCACAAGAAUGCACAACCCCUUUGGCACAGGCCUUGGGGCCGCUCUGGUUCGCAGGGCUGAGGAGCUCAUGGUGAGGGGACGGAAGAGCAGCCUGGAGACCUCGCCUGCUGGUCCUUCUCUCUGGGUCCCUCACUGUGGACUGAGGGCACCCAGUCACGAUUUCUGAAGCCGAGUGUCCUGAGACAGGCUGGUCCACAGAACUGACGCUCGCAGCAAACCCACCAGGUUCAUCCCAUCAGAUGGUGUGAGGCCCCUCAGUGUCUCAGUCACCUCCCUUUGAGCUAACAAAAUCAUGGCUGGACUCUCCAAAAGCAUUGGCCAGGGUGGCCCUGCAUGGCCCAGGCUUUGACAGGGUGCAGCCCAGGGGAGAACUGCUUGGUGGAUACUUUGCCCGGCUCCGUCCACUCAGCAGACACUUGUUGGACGUCCAUCGCGUGCUAGUGCUAAGCAAUUAAGGGCCGGCCCCAGAUGUGUGAGCAGAAUGGCCGGUCACUGGUGGACUGGACUCCAGUGCUGGCACCAGGUCUCCCUGUAUCCCAGGUAUCGCAGAGGGAUUCGGGAGGAUGUGACUGUUUAUAUAGCUCUAGCCACUUGGGCAUACUUUUAUUUUGUCAAUUAAUUUGUAAUCCAAUGUAUUAUUUCUCCUUGGCAUUGUUAAAAAUGCACUUGAAAAGCAUACUUCUUAAUAGCUUACCUAAAUUUUUGAUAAAAAUAAGUCCAUUAAGUCACGGUUCUCCAUGGAGCCUUGUGGCUGACCACUGGCCUUCCCUUCAGGAAGGACAUCAACGUGUGGUCUUCCACACGAUGCCGUCCAUCCCUUCUCUUGUAAAAGGGAUUCACGGCCAGGAGUUUCAUUGAAAAGAAGAAUUCCUUUAUCUGGCUGAUUGCCGUAACUGGACUCCUGUUUGUGUAAGUUGCCUUUUCAGUCAGUUGCUGUGCCGUGGUUUUGGACCCCAUGGUGCGCUCACACGUCUGCCCACGCGGUGCUGCACCUGGGCUCCAGCAGCAGGAGGAGCGCUGUGGCCACCCUGUGCUGUGGUCUCCCCUGGGUGGCCUUCAGCACCUCCCAUGCAGCCCUGGGCUCUUUCCUCUAGUCUGACAUUUAUGGGAAACCAGGAAUCCCCCGUGUGGCUGCGGAGAAGCCAGCAUCAGGCAGCUGAAGGAGAGUUUCUCAUACGAGAUUAAUUCUAAAGAUCCAGUUAUUAGUGGAAAGACCAAAUCACUGAGGUGAGGUUUAGAUACUUUCUAAUUAUAACUCAGCUGGGGAAAUCAAAGGCUUUGUGUAACGGGAAGAGACAUAAUGUGUGUAUUUUUUCCAACUGAGGAGCUAAAUUUGGGAAUACACCCUGUCAAGUCAGUAAGAAAUUCAGAUGCAUCCCAAGUGAUUUCCAGGGCCUGCCUGGGCCUCAGGAGGUGUGGCAAUCUGUCCCUUUUGCUAAGUCCCUGCUCCCAGCCUCAGAUAACUGAUCCCCCAAACCACCAGAUAGGCCUUUGAAGGCGCAGUCCUUCUUAAUGAAGCAUGUUCCAUGAAACAGAGGUGGAGAUCCAAAGUACUCUUGUCUCAUCUGACCUGGGUUCAUGGAGUCUCAAGUUGCGUGGCCCGUUUUCUCAGCUGAGCUUCAAGACGGCGUGCACACAGGACGGGGCGGGGGGAGGCCCGUGGCGGGAAUGCAUCUUGUGCUUACGAGGUAAAGAGGGCCUUGUGUUUUCUCCUGGUUUUAGUUGGGAAUCAUGGUGAGCAGUCUGUCAAAAGUAGUAUUGCUCUCCAUUAAGAUUAAAUCACAGCCCUCGGAGACGAUCUCUGGGCUUUGUAAACAUACCGCUGUUGGGCAGCUCUUUCUUCCGUGUGGGUUGUGUUCCUCCCCGUCUGUCCCCUUCACCAGUGUUUGUGAUAUUUAUAAUCAUGUUUGUUCACACUUGACCAUCCCUCUGCCCCACUGGAGUGUAGCUGUCCCUUGGUAUCUUAGAGGACUGGUUCCCUGUGUAAAUCGAGGCAGUAUUUGCAUAGAAUCUGCUCGCAGCCUCUGGUGUCCCUUAUAUCAUCUCGAGAUUACUUAUGCAACAUAAAUGCUACACAAACAGUCGUUAUAUUAUUAAAGAAUUGAUGACAAGAGAAAAGUCUCUGGGUGUUCUGUACACACACAAU